rnacentral:rRNA from 1 species
CCUACGGGAGGCAGCAGUGAGGAAUAUUGGUCAAUGGGCGCGAGCCUGAACCAGCCAAGUAGCGUGAAGGAUGACUGCCCUACGGGUUGUAAACUUCUUUUAUAAAGGAAUAAAGUGAGGCACGUGUGCCUCUUUGUAUGUACUUUAUGAAUAAGGAUCGGCUAACUCCGUGCCAGCAGCCGCGGUAAUACGGAGGAUCCGAGCGUUAUCCGGAUUUAUUGGGUUUAAAGGGAGCGUAGAUGGGUUGUUAAGUCAGUUGUGAAAGUUUGCGGCUCAACCGUAAAAUUGCAAUUGAUACUGGCAGUCUUGAGUACGGUAGAGGUAGGCGGAAUUCGUGGUGUAGCGGUGAAAUGCUUAGAUAUGACGAAGAACUCCGAUUGCGAAGGCAGUUCACUGGACUGCAACUGACACUGAGGCUCGAAAGUGUGGGUAUCGAACAGGAUUAGAUACCCGGGUAGUC